GAUAACACGCUGACGAAGAGAGUAGCGUUUUUUAUGCCGAAAAGAGAGCAAUGUCAAGGCUGAAAGCAUUGUGCGGCGGAAAUUGCGUGAAGUUCACUUCCGAGUGGUGAGGCUGAAAUAACAGUAGGUUUCAACGGCUGACUCCGUUACAGGUCGGGAAGUGUUUGCUUCUUUAAGCAAAAAUCAGGGUGGUACCACGGAUAUUAUUCGUCCCUGCG
rnacentral:ncRNA from 1 species